UAUUAAUGACCGGUGAGCCUGCUCCGGGUCUCCUCCAGCAUCCUGAGACCUGCCCCAUUCCAGGCAGCCGCUGCCAUCUACAGCCACCUGCUGGCCCAUCCCUGCAUCCUGAAUGUUCUGCACAAGCUCCUGCAAGGCAUAAGGAGAAGGAUUUGAUACAAUUUAUAUGCUGAUAUGUAAUUCUAUACAGUCAUGGCUGGAGGUGUCUGCUUUUCAUCCAUAACAGCUCAGAAGUGAAGCAUUCAUCCAGACCUAAAACACCUCCAGGUUUUAUCUCAGGACAUUGGAAUUGGCUAGUGCUGAAUGCUAUGUAGAGAAGUACUCCUGUAAUCAGGACACUGCAAUAGCUGUUUGCCUGAAGAAUCAAAAGCUCAGCCUGAGGAUCCUGACAUUUCUGAGCAAUACAGCAUGAACUUCUCCAGCCUUGAUGAAAGCUGAAGGCAACUAGAGUUCUUGAAAAUCAGUUUUAGCUAAGAAAACUUCGGUAACUUUAGAUAAAUGUAAUUUCAGGUAAACCCAGUGUAUAUGUUUCUUGACAUUUACAUUUCCCCUGGAAUGCAUUUGUACUCAUUAUGCACUCCUUUCUCCUUUUGAAAGGUAGAUGAUUGCUGGUUACUGCUGCUGUCAUCCUGGAGAUUGGAGCACCUGGCAGCUGUUGUAACUUAGAUCUGUUACAAGAGGGUGCAAUGGAAAUGCAGUAAUUGUAGCUGAAACUCCAGGUCUGGAGGAAGAGGACAUGGGCUCUUUUCCCACUAGACGUGGAUAUUAGCUCAUUACACAC